GCCUUUCGAAAGAAAGAUUAAUACCCGAUAGCAUAAUGAUUCCGCAUGGUUUCAUUAUUAAAGGAUUCCGGUAAAGGAUGGGGAUGCGUUCCAUUAGGUUGUUGGUGAGGUAACGGCUCACCAAGCCUCGAUGGAUAGGGGUUCUGAGAGGAAGGUCCCCCACAUUGGAACUGAGACACGGUCCAAACUCCUACGGGAGGCAGCAGUGAGGAAUAUUGGUCAAUGGGCGCUAGCCUGAACCAGCCAAGUAGCGUGAAGGAUGAAGGCUCUAUGGGUCGUAAACUUCUUUUAUAUAAGAAUAAAGUGCAGUAUGUAUACUGUUUUGUAUGUAUUAUAUGAAUAAGGAUCGGCUAACUCCGUGCCAGCAGCCGCGGUAAUACGGAGGAUCCGAGCGUUAUCCGGAUUUAUUGGGUUUAAAGGGAGCGUAGGUGGACUGGUAAGUCAGUUGUGAAAGUUUGCGGCUCAACCGUAAAAUUGCAGUUGAUACUGUCAGUCUUGAGUACAGUAGAGGUGGGCGGAAUUCGUGGUGUAGCGGUGAAAUGCU
rnacentral:rRNA from 1 species